GACGAACGCUGGCGGCGUGCUUAACACAUGCAAGUCGAACGGAAAGGCCCUGCUUUUGUGGGGUGCUCGAGUGGCGAACGGGUGAGUAACACGUGAGUAACCUGCCCUUGACUUUGGGAUAACUUCAGGAAACUGGGGCUCUUAUCGGAUAGGAGCUCUUGCUGCAUGGUGGGGGUUGGAAAGUUUCGGCGGUUGGGGAUGGAAUCGCGGCUUAUCCGCUUGUUGGUGGAGUAGUGGCUUACCAAGGUUGUGACGGCUAGCCGGCCUGGGAGGGGGACCGGCCACAUGGGGACUGAGAGAGGGACCAGACGCCUACGGGAGGCAGCAGUGGAGAAUAUUGCACAAUGGGCGGAAGCCAGAGGCAGCAACGCCGGGUGCGGGAUGACGGCCUUCGGGGGGUAAACCGCUUUCGCCUGUGACGAAGCGGUAGUGACGGUAAUGGGUAAAGAAGCACCGGCUAACUACGUG
rnacentral:rRNA from 1 species